CAUGUCUCUCUCUCUCCAAGACACCAUUCUUCAUUUUCUGCUUGUAGGCCCUACUCUUCCAGCCUCUAAGUUCUUAAGGUGAUUCUCCUCAUUCCUGCCCAUGACCAAGAUGUCAUCAAGCUAGCACUGGACUCUUGGCAAGCCACACAAGAUCUGGCCCAUAGCCUUCUGGAACAAAGCUGGGGUAGAUGUUAUUUUGAAAGGUCAGCAUGCAGGCCACAGGAAGAAGUAGAAGUGCAUCUAUGACAUCUACAUCUCUCAAAUGCCUGUACUGCCACCAGCAUGACCUGUUCUGAUCUUCCGAUGUAUUUUGUGUCCCGUUGAUUAUGCUCAUUCCACCAAAUUCCUGUGAUGCAUAUUAUAACAAUAUCUUUAUUUGAUAUGAGGUGCUCUAGUUCACCCAUCAUAUUAUUUAGAUUUCUAGCACUUUUAAUAACUUGUCAAUUUUAGCUGUCUGCCAUUAAACGAUAUAAUUGAAUGGGACUCUUUUUUUUGUUUGAGUGUUUCUCUAUGAUGUUAUCAUUUUCCAUCCUCUCCCGCUCAUGAGGACAUAAAGGAUCUCCAUUCAUAGAUCCUCCCAUUCCAGGUAGCUCUUUCUGAACCACAUGCUCUUCUGCACCUGUCGGCUUUCCCCCCCAGCCCUUAGUUUAAAAACUGCUCUAUAACCUUUUUAAUUUUAAGUGCCCACAGUCUGGUUCCAUUUUGGUUUAAGUGGAGCUGGUCCUUUCUGUCUAGGCUCCCUUUUUCUGAAAAGUUAGCUUGAAGAAGGCAGCAGAGUUGGAGAAGGUAAGGAGGGUGUCACAUUCGGGAGAGCUAGCAAUCCCUGGGAGAGGUGGACCUGAUCUCCAGGGUCCAGGGACAGAUUUAAGACUACCCUGUGUUUGUUUGUUUUUGUUUAAGAAUAAAUCUCCUCAACUGGAAUUGGGCAUGGCAGUGCGUGUUUGGAGCUGGGGAGCAGGACCAUAAGCCAAUAAAGUGUUGGUGUGCAAUACUCAAAAUGGCAUAAAAUCCUUUCAAUCUUUUAUUUCAACCUCGAGUUAUUAUCACUGGAACGUUAGGAUAUUUAGACUGUGUAGUUUUAUUUGAAAUAUGUAGUUAUUUAACCUGUGUUGGCUUUUUUGUGUAGGAGGAGAUCAUAGUCAUAAUGCUAAACGUUCUGUAAGUGGAACUGGUAACACUAUCUAACA